CAACUCGGGGUCCUUAACCCACUGAGCAAGGCCAGGAAUUGAACUCGUGUCCUCAUGGAUACUAGCUGGGUUUAACCACUGAGCCACAGCAGGAACUCCCAAUGUUGGGUUCUUAACCCAAUGAAUCACAAUGGGAACUCUUGGUGUCUCAUUUUAUAAAGGCACUAAUUUCAUUGUGAGGUCCCCACCUUCAUGACCUCAUCUAAACCUAAUCAUCUCCCAAAGGCCCCUAUCCAAACACUGGCACACUGGGGCUUAGGACUUCAACAUAUGACUUGGGGGAAGGGGGUGGCAAAGUUCAUUCCUUGGCCUGACGUUUUUUCUAAGGGUUAUGUACAUUAAUCUGUUUAAAGCACUUUAAACAGUGCCUGGCACUUGGUAAGUUCUCAAUAAAUGUUUACUCUGGAGCCAAGUGAAUAAAGAGGUCAGCCAUUUAAUUUACAAAGCAAAUUGUUUAAUACACCUGUUUCUAGAACAAUUCUAGAAACCAAUUCCAGGGAUCUUUAAGCUCUGGGGGGCCUGUGUGUGGGUAUCCUCAGGUAUGUCCACACAACUGACUAAGCAAUGAGUCAAGGGACCUUGGGUCCAAUCUUUCUUUUUUGUUCCCUGAGUUUGCACCAUCCUCCUUUGAGGAGUCCAGCUGGCUCAUCUCUGAAAGCUUCUUCCAUGUCUGGAACAUUCUGAUCCUCUUCCAUCUUUGUUCCACUUUCUGUGCUGAUGGUGUGGGCCGAGGAGAAUAGGAGAAAUGGUGAGGCUAGUAUCUCCAGUCUCAGCUCCAUAACCACAGAAGGCCACGGUUAUUGACAGAAGCUCUUUUUAAAACAAAAACUAUGUUCAGGGUCUUCUCUUUGAGAAGGUUACCUACCUAGAGGUCAACUAGUCAGCCUGCCUCCAAUCAUCCAAUGUAAUGGUCUCCUUGGAAACAAGCCUGUUUUCAUACUUGAGUUGUGAGAAUCUCACCGUAACACAGAACUGUUCCUUCUGUUUUUGAACAAUUCCGUAGAUGAGAAAAUUCUUCUUUAUUUUGAGUUGACAUCCACUUCCUUAUAAUGUCUACCCACUAGUCCUAAUUUUAUCUUCUGAAUCAUAACGUUGGACACCUAGUAAAUUUCUUAAAAGGGGUAUAGGUGAACUGAGGUAUUCUUCUAGACUUACAAUUUUCUCAUCUUAUUCUUCCAGUGAUGCUGUCCUAAAAAAACUUCCUUUUUUUCUUCUUAACCUUCACAUCUGUCUCAUUUGCUCUGUCCCCUCUGCUCCCAGCUCCGUAUUCAGGGCUCCCAGGGGGAGACAGUAGAGGAAGUGAGAGGAUGGCAUUGAGUAGCUUAUGGAAAAUUGUUAUGGAUAAUACAAUUUUCUUCCUCCUGGUCCUUCUGUGAGAAAAGGAGGUUCGUAUCAAGUGCAGGUUCCAAAUGGUCUGUGAUUUCUGGGGGGGGUUAACUACACCAUCACAAAUUAUAUACUCCUGCACUUUAACCCCAGCCAGCUCCCAUUACAAAGUUUACCAAAAUCUACAUUAGUGAGCUGCUUAGUAUCGACAUUAAUACUAUAAUUUACUGAUUUAGGCUGUCUGGUGAUGAUGUGAUGUGCAGUACAGAGUUAAGGCUUCCUCCCUGCCCCCAGUUGUUACAUUUUAAAAGAGGGCAGGCUUAUCCCUGGGGGUUGUCCUCCAAAGGUACACUUCAGUGACGUGUGGGCCACUGGCAUUAUUGUCCAAACAAAAGGUACCUGUCUAGGACAGACCAGCUGGGUUGGCUGUGCUUUCUUAGAUGCAUUAGGCAGAAAAGCUUUGAAAUUUCCUCCUGCCUCAAAGUAGGAAGAGAUACAGUCAGACUGGGAAGCUGUGCUUUGUACAAAGGAGAACAGAAUUCCAAGCCAUCAGCUAUCACCAAAGGUGUCAUCCCCUUCUGCAUUUCUUGAAUCUGCUCUCCUCAGAGGUCCUCUAUCCACCCAAAUGCCUGGGCAUCACAUCUUAUUUAUCAAGUCCCGUCAAGCCUAUUUCCUGAGAACUUGUCCAGCUGCACUGUGAUGCAUCUCCACUGUCUCCUACCUGGACCACGACAGUAACCUCCUUGCUUUAUUCUGAUCUAUUCUCUUUAUUGGUAUCACAAAUCCUACUCACAAACCCCAUCAAGGUGACCCACUGUUUGGCUCCACAGUGUGAGGGAUGAGCUCAGCUCAUGGAGGAUACAAGAAAGUGCACGUCAGGGAAAAAGUAACAGCAGUUCUAUCCAUAUUAACUUUUUCUCUUAAAAAUCACAGAUACCAGUUUUGUUAUAUUCGAUAGACAGAUUGCCGCUGGUGUGUCCCCUCGGUCCUUGAGAGAUGAGUCAGUACAUCUCUCCUCUGUUUGAGAAUUGGAGGAAAGGCGGAGAAAAAGGAAUUUUCACAAAGCAGAAGAGCUGGAGUGUGCGCCACUGGUUUUUGUGGGCCCAGUCAAGAGGAUCUGCAUUAUAGACUCUUCAUAGUAAUUGGCAAAAAGCUAGAAAGUAGGCAUAAGACUCUUGUGCACUACACAGAGAUUCACUAGCAACAUUGUCAAAGUACUUAAGAGAUGUUAAACCUAAUAAAUUAAACAUUUUUAUUCUUCAGUAAGCAUCCAAAUUUUGUUUCUUUUCUGCGGAUGAUAAUUUGUGAUCAGAAGUAUGCCACAUAGCAAAUGCUGGGGUUUGGGAAAUAGCAGGGGCAGGGAGGACCCUCUGAUCUUUCCCUGAGGCAGGUUUUAACCCCCAUCUGUGAGAGGUGCCUUCCUUGAACCUGAAGCAUCCUAUCUCUGAAGACACAGGGAUGCUGAGAGGGAUGUAAACAAACCCGCCUUUACGUUUCCCCUAAUUUACUACACGUAGCUCAUACCCUUUGUCCCACCACAUCUUUCUCCAAUUUGUACUUUUCAUCAAAUCUUACAGCAUAAAAACAUCUUGUUCAGCCCCUUCUUCCUGCCUUCAUCUCCUUAGAGAGGCUCUCAUGUCACAUAAAACUUAAAUGAAUUUGUGUGUUUUCUCUUGUUAAUUUGCCUUUUGCUCCAGGGGCCCCAGCUGAGAACUUUGAAUGGUAGAAGGAAAGAGUUUUCUUCUACUACACAGAUAUAUAUAUAUAUUUUUAAUUAAGCACAUUCAGAAUAUACAGAGAAAAAUACAAAUCUGGGCUUAAAAUCAAUUCAACUCAUUCCAAAGUCCGGAGUUCCCGUCGUGGCGCAGUGGUUAACGAAUCUGACUAGGAACCAUGAGGUUGCAGGUUCAAUCCCUGCCCUUGCUCAGUGGGUUAACGAUCCAGCAUUGCCGUGUAGGUCGCAGACGUGGCUCGGAUCCUAUGUUGCUGUGGCUCUGGUGUAGGCCGGCGGCUACAGCUCCGAUUCGACCCCUAGCCUGGGAACCUCCAUAUGCCGCAGGAGUGGCUCAAGAAAUGGC
rnacentral:lncRNA from 1 species